GUUGGGAGGGGUGGGGCCGAGCGCUGUGUAGUGAGGAGGGCGAGGCCCCGGUUUGUUUAACUGACCAGCGUAGCCUCUGUUUUGUCUUUGGUGGACAACGUCCUUUGCUGGGAAGCUAGUCUACACACCACUCCACUCAAGCACCUCUAUGAAGGGAACAUGUGGAGAGGAACAAAAGCCUCCAUCGACAACCACACCAACUUACCAGCCAUAUGAGGAAACUGAGAACCAUAAAGUCACUCCAGCCUUCUGACUUCAGACCAUAGUUUAAUGAACUAUGCAGAGGGACUAGUAGCAGCAAUGGAGGAAGAUUAUCUGAAAAGCAAAAAGCAGCUCACUAGACUUUAAUCACCAAAUAUGAUUACUUCAAAUGAAGGAUUCAUACUAUCCCUUCUUCUAUACAUUAUGCAUAAUGUCUAUGAAUCACAACAUCAGUUAAAUUUCCACUUUUAUAAAGUAUUUUCUUUUAUUCUUCACUCAUUCAUUCUUUUCUUUCUUUCUUCUUCUUCUUCUUCUUCUUCUUCUUCUUCUUCUUCAACAUCAUCAUCAUCCAGUGUUAACUGUAAAUUGUGCAUUGCACUAAUAUACUAAAUCUUAAUAAAAUAAUCAACCAAUCAAAAAGUCCUUACCUUCUAUUUCCUAGUAUGCUGAGGAUUUUAACAAAUGCCCACUUCCCUUCAGUAAAGCAAAACAAUCAUUGCCUACACAAAUUUUGACAAGAUGCUGCACAAUACAAAAUAAUGCAAAAUAAAAAU